AAGCGAGGGAUAGGGUGAGGAGCUGCUACCAUAAGGAUUUCGUCAUCGAUGAAGAUAGCCAGUGGAUGCUUCAGGGGUGGAAGGGGCGGAUCAUUUAUGCACUUUCCACGUGGAAACCAGACCAUGAUAUCUUUUGAGUAUCAGAAAGCUUGCUUCUAGUUGUGUACUUAAAAUGGGAAUGCUCUUCCUGCUUCUCUGGUCCUAUGGCAGCUCGGAACAAAAUCAAAGGUAUGGGACUAAUGAGUUGCAAGAGCAAUUGGUCUUAAGCACAAACACUGCCUCAAUUUCCAACCAUGCAGAAGUCGAAUUCUCGUGAGAGUCCCAAAGCCAUGAGGUCAGUGUUAUGAAUGACUAUACUGAUGAUAGCAUCAUUUGUGAAUGCUAUUGGAAGAUUGGAGCCUGUAACAUUAUGUGUAGCAGAGCUUGCAGCUGAAUCUCCACAAGGCAUCCUUUGUACUCCUGACACUGUUGCUAAAUUUCAGGUAUAAUUAUCAAUUUUCUGUUGUGUUUAUCUCUACUCUCCAUCUAGUCUUGCACACAACCUAAAUUUUGUUAUUUGCCAUUAUCACAAUUGUUUAUUGUAUCUUGUCCUCACUGUUGCUUUCUUUUUCUUUGAGACUAUAUCCUGCACAGUCUCUUACUCAUUUUCAUUAUACACCUUCAUGUCUUUAUGUAUUCACAUGAUAGCAAUGCUUUCUACCUUAAUACAGGUUGGAUAUACGCCUGAUUAUCAUUUAUUUCUGCAAACAAUUCUGAGAUCAGAUCCCCAGGAUUGAUGGUAACUCAUGGAAAUGAUGCUUCUUUGGCUGUGAUGCUCCAAUCCGAGAGAAAAUAGUCACGUGGAAGGGGACCAUACUGAAACAGUUCAUGUGGAAGGCUAUGUGGUAGUUUGUUUAUUUUGAAAACUUUAACAUUAAUUGUUUUGUUGAUUGUUGUCUUGAUGGAUGUUAAAUGGGUGAAACAUGCACAAGUUUAAUCAUUGGUUGAUUAUAAUAUUGUUAGCUUUUGUUGAUGAAAACUAGAUUUAGCCUUGAUUAUUGAUAAAUGAU